AGGAAUUUAGGUUAAACACAGACCAAGGGCCUUCAAAGCCCUAAGUAAAUGCAGCACGUUUAAUUCCUG
rnacentral:tRNA from 1 species